rnacentral:rRNA from 1 species
GACGAACGCUGGCGGCGUGCUUAACACAUGCAAGUCGAACGAUGAAGCACCAGCUUGCUGGUGUGGAUUAGUGGCGAACGGGUGAGUAACACGUGAGUAACCUGCCCCUCACUCUGGGAUAAGCCUGGGAAACUGGGUCUAAUACUGGAUACGACCGAUCUCCGCAUGGAGUGUUGGUGGAAAGUUUUUGUGGUGGAGGAUGGACUCGCGGCCUAUCAGCUUGUUGGUGGGGUAAUGGCCUACCAAGGCGACGACGGGUAGCCGGCCUGAGAGGGCGACCGGCCACACUGGGACUGAGACACGGCCCAGACUCCUACGGGAGGCAGCAGUGGGGAAUAUUGCACAAUGGGCGAAAGCCUGAUGCAGCGACGCCGCGUGAGGGAUGACGGCCUUCGGGUUGUAAACCUCUUUCACCAGGGACGAAGCUAACGUGACGGUACCUGGAGAAGAAGCACCGGCUAACUACGUG